rnacentral:rRNA from 1 species
CUUGGUCAUUUAGAGGAAGUAAAAGUCGUAACAAGGUUUCCGUAGGUGAACCUGCGGAAGGAUCAUUAGUGAAUUGAAUAUGUUAGCGGACCUCUUCGGAGUCCCUAGCAUCAAAUCAUAUCCAUAACACCUGUGAACUGUAAGGCUGUCUUGAAAACGAAAGUGAUUAGAGCGCCUGCCCAUUUUAUACAGACAUUAAAGUAACAAACGUAGUCUUAUUAUAAUCUAAUAAAACUUUCAACAACGGAUCUCUUGGCUCUCGCAUCGAUGAAGAACGCAGCGAAAUGCGAUAAGUAAUGUGAAUUGCAGAAUUCAGUGAAUCAUCGAAUCUUUGAACGCACCUUGCGCUCUUUGGUAUUCCGAAGAGCAUGCCUGUUUGAGUGUCAUGAAAAUAUCAACCUUGACUUGGGUUUAGUGCUCUUGUCUUGGCUUGGAUUUGGCUGUUUGCCGCUCGAAAGAGUCGGCUCAGCUUAAAAGUAUUAGCUGGAUCUGUCUUUGAGACUUGGUUUGGCUUGGCGUAAUAAGUUAUUUCGCUGAGGACAAUCUUCGGAUUGGCCGAGUUUCUGGGACGUUUGUCCGCUUUCUAAUACAAGUUCUAGCUUGCUAGACAUGACUUUUUUAUUAUCUGGCCUCAAAUCAGGUAGGACUACCCGCUGAACUUAAGCAUAUCAAUAAGCGGAGGA